rnacentral:tRNA from 1 species
GGAGAGAUGGCUCAGAGAUAAAGAGCACUGGCUGCUCUUCCAGAGGAUCUGGGUUCAAUUCCUAGCUCCC